rnacentral:rRNA from 1 species
GACGAACGCUGGCGGCGUGCUUAACACAUGCCAGUCGAACGGAAAGGCCCUGCUUUUGUGGGGUGCUCGAGUGGCGAACGGGUGAGUAACACGUGAGUAACCUGCCCUUGACUUUGGGAUAACUUCAGGAAACUGGGGCUAAUACCGGAUAGGAGCUCCUGCUGCAUGGUGGGGGUUGGAAAGUUUCGGCGGUUGGGGAUGGACUCGCGGCUUAUCAGCUUGUUGGUGGGGUAGUGGCUUACCAAGGCUUUGACGGGUAGCCGGCCUGAGAGGGUGACCGGCCACAUUGGGACUGAGAUACGGCCCAGACUCCUACGGGAGGCAGCAGUGGGGAAUAUUGCACAAUGGGCGGAAGCCUGAUGCAGCAACGCCGCGUGCGGGAUGACGGCCUUCGGGUUGUAAACCGCUUUCGCCUGUGACGAAGCGUGAGUGACGGUAAUGGGUAGAGAAGCACCGGCUAACUACGUG